rnacentral:rRNA from 1 species
UACGGAGGGUGCAAACGUUGCUCGGAAUCAUUGGGCGUAAAGCGCACGUAGGCGGCUCGUUAAGUCGGAUGUGAAAUCCCUGGGCUCAACCCAGGAAGUGCAUUCGAAACUGGCGAGCUUGAAUAUGGAAGAGGGUCGCGGAAUUCCCGGUGUAGAGGUGAAAUUCGUAGAUAUCAGGAGGAACACCGGUGGUGUAAACGGCUUUCUGGACCAUAACUGACGCUGAGGCACGAAAGCGUGGGUAGCAAACAGG